rnacentral:ribozyme from 1 species
UGCCCAGCAACUCCUACCCCUACCUCCGCGUGGUACUGGCUGAAAAUUACGAGCAACCUUAGGGAAGAUCGGUUAACCAACCCCGGUGGAUUGGGGCAUAAGGAAAGGGGGGG